rnacentral:rRNA from 1 species
UACGGGGGGGGCAAGCGUUGUUCGGAAUUACUGGGCGUAAAGGGCUCGUAGGCGGCCAACUAAGUCAGACGUGAAAUCCCCAGGCUCAACCUGGGAACUGCGUCUGAUACUGGAUGGCUUGAAUCCGGGAGAGGGAUGCAGAAUUCCAGGUGUAGCGGUGAAAUGCGUAGAUAUCUGGAGGAAUACCGGUGGCGAAGGCGGCAUCCUGGACCGGCAUUGACGCUGAGGAGCGAAAGCCAGGGGAUCAAACGGG